UGAAUACGUUCCCGGGCCUUGUACACACCGCCCGUCACACCAUGGGAGCCGACAAGGGCAGAAGUCGCCGAGCUAACCUUCGGGAAGCAGGCGCCCAAGCUGUUGUUGACGACUGGGGUGAAGUCGUAACAAGGUAGCCGUAGGAGAACCUGCGGCUGGAUCACCUCCUUUCUAAGGACGCCGGAGAUGCUUUAUGCUUAUCUCCGGAUAGUCAAAGUCGAAACAGACUCUCUUCUCUUCUCUCCCUUUUCUCCUGUAAAUGCUAAGUUAUGAAUUUAGAGCAACGAAGAAAUUGAAUUCGUUACUGUGGACUCCUAAUUUCAAGAGGGGCCUGUAGCUCAGCUUGGUUAGAGCGCAUCCCUGAUAAGGAUGAGGCCGGUGGUUCAAGUCCACCCAGGCCCACCAGGUUCAGUGGGGGAUUAGCUCAGCUGGUAGAGCGCCUGCUUUGCAAGCAGGAGGUCAGCGGUUCGACCCCGCUAUCCUCCACCAAAUUAAUGAACAGUAAAAAAAGGUGGUGCAGCUUAAGCAGAAGAUAAGCUUCAGCAAUUAUUUAAUAAUUUCUGAAUUUUAUUUUUUAAUAUCUUAGACAAUUGAAUCGGAGGUUUUGGAGACACAAGAUCAAAUGUGAGGGUCUCCAAGGGUUGACGAUCUUGACUGUUAAAGUCAGGUAGUAAGGGCGCAGGGCGGAUGCCUUGGCUCUGGGAAGCGAAGAAGGACGUGGCUAGCUGCGAUAAGCCUCGGG
rnacentral:misc_RNA from 1 species